UACGUAGGGGGCAAGCGUUGUUCGGAAUUACUGGGCGUAAAGGGCGCGUAGGUGGCCCGGUCAGUUCGUGGUGAAAGCGCGGGGCUCAACCCUGCGUCGGCCAUGAAUACUGCCGCGGCUGGAGCACUGUAGAGGCAGGCGGAAUUCCGGGUGUAGCGGUGGAAUGCGUAGAGAUCCGGAAGAACACCGGUGGCGAAGGCGGCCUGCUGGGCAGUUGCUGACACUGAGGCGCGACAGCGUGGGGAGCAAACAGG
rnacentral:rRNA from 1 species